AGAGGUCCAGCCUGCCCAGUGACAAGAUUCAACGGCCGCGGUAUCCUAACCGCGCGAAGGUAGCGUAAUCACUUGUUUUUUAAAUUAAGACUAGUAUGAAUGGCACCACGAGGGUCAAACUGUCUCCUUUCCUUAAUCAGUGAAACUAAUCCCCCUGUGAAAAAGCAGGGAUAUUAUUAUAAGACGAAAAGACCCUAUGGAGCUUUAAACAAGUAACUACACCUACUUACUGUCUUCUAGUUAUUAGUUUUAGGUUGGGGUGACCACGGAGAAAAACCUAUCCUCCACGAUGAGUGAGCAAUUCUUACUAAAAGCCACAACUUUAUGUAUCAAAAAAUUGACAUACUGACCCAAUAAUUUGAUCAGCGAACCAAGUUACCCUAGGGAUAACAGCGCAAUCCACUUUGAGAGUUCUUAUCAACAAGUGGGCUUACGACCUCGAUGUUGGAUCAGGGUGCCCAGUGGUGUAGCCGCUACUAAAG
rnacentral:rRNA from 1 species